rnacentral:lncRNA from 1 species
GCGGACCGUGGCUAACGGAGGGGCCACCUACUAUGGCGGAGCACUCUGUCUCUCUCUCGAGCUCUCUCGAGCUCCCUCUCGCUCACCCUCUCAAUCGCUCGCUCCUCUCCUCCUCCCCCUCACUCUCGGGGUCACGCUCUCUUUUGAAGGCACCCGGCCAGUGCACAUGGCUUCUGCCAUCACCAGCUCGCUGUUCGGCCUGGCCCCG